rnacentral:misc_RNA from 1 species
UACGGAGGGUGCUAACGUUGUCCGGAAUUAUUGGGCGUAAAGAGCAUGUAGGUGGCUAUAUAAGUGAGUGAUUAAAUACCAUCGCUUAACGAUGGGACUGUUCCUCAAACUGUAUGGCUUGAGUAUAGCAGGGGUAAGCGGAACUUUGAGUGUAGGAGUGAAAUCCGUAGAUAUUCAAAGGAACACCAAUGGCGAAGGCAGCUUACUGGGCUAUUACUGACACUGAGAUGCGAAAGCGUGGGUAGCGAACGGG